GAUUGUAAAAACCCAGAUUUUAUUGCAGAUCUGGGCAUGAAUUGUUUAUUGUUCUCUUAUAGCCAUCAUCCAGUUCAGACGAGCUACAGAAGAGAAUUCUGAGAAGGCAGUAAUUAAAUUUGAUAGUGAUGGGCCAUUAGUUGUUUGCAACAGUUCAAUCAAAACCAUCUGUCAGGAAAAGACGUUUCUUCUGGGAGGCAGCAACGAGGCCAGUCAGCCAGAGACCCUGCAGGGCACUACAAUGGGAUCAGGGUGCUUCAACAGCCUGGAGGGCCUGUCAGUAGACCCCCUGUCUCCACUUCAACAGCCCAGCAUCUUCCAGUCCACCCUCCAACAGCCUGGCACCCUCCAGUCCAGCCUCCAACAACCUAGCACCCUCCAGUCCAGCCUCCAACAACCUAGCACCCUCCAGUCCACCUUCCAACAGCCUGGCACCCCGGUCAGCACCCCCCAGCCUAGCACCCUCCAGUCCACCUUCCAACAGCCUGGCACCCCAGUCAGCACCCCCCAGCCUAGCACCCUCCAGUCCAGCCUCCAACAGCCUAGCACCCUCCAGUCCAGCCUCCAACAGCCCAGCACCCUGGUCAGCACCCCCCAGCCCAGCAACUGCCAAUCAAACAGCUCCCUGCCAUCCAGCCCCCUGGUUAAUGUCAACAUCACCGUUAACUAUCCUGUGAACAUUGGAAACGGGCUGUGCUCCACCCCUACGAGCAGCACCCCCACAGGUUCCUCACAGGCUGAUUCUGAGGCUCCUCUUUCCAGGGAGGAGGAGUACGUGAACAUGCCACUGCAAGAGGGUGGCAAGGAGGCACUUACAGCAACACAGGAAAGUGGGCAUUAUAUAUAAAGACUGGGGAAUCAGAUAAUAGAUUGGGUUUUAAUGCUGUUUUAUAUACAGUAGUACAAGUAUGUACAAUGCCAACUCUAGCCUUUUGGGGGCCCAUAGAAAUGUUUUAUUUUGGGCCCCUUCCCCUUACGUUUGGGGGCUCCCUAGCAGUUGGAGGACCCCUAGUGGUUGGGGGCCCUAAGUGACCGCUUCUGUCGCAUAUGUCUGGAGCCGACCCGAGUAUUUACACAGUCAAGUGGAUGUGUUCAAACUUUUGACUGGUACUGUGUAUGUAUAAUAUAUGUAUCAUCACAGUAUGAUUGCUAUUGAAGCACUGUUGCUGACUUUGAAUAUUGAAAGAAGAUGGCACCAAAUGACUUCUUAUGCAGGGCCUUAGCUGAACACCGGAAUACAUUUUUAACAGUUGUUUAAAGAAUUACGAUUGAAGUGAAUGAUGUAAACUGUAAAUGUGGCAUAGCUCAAAGUAUGUGUAAUGAUUUUAGCAUAGGUAGGCAGUAACAUUUUAGUAUGUACCAUCAUAUUUUUUUAUUCACCAUUAUUCACUAUGGCCUAUAUGAGAUGUUGUAUUCUUGUGAGAUGAAUACAUUAUUAAACUUUCCAGUGUAAGUUUUUGCUCUUUUGCGAAACUGCAAUCGCAUACUAAACAAACCUGCUUUGUUUAUAGCCUUUCCCCUGUACAUGUUGAAGAGUCUGCAUAUGUUUUGUAAAUUUGAAGCAAUUGACUAGUAACAAGUUAAUGAGUCAUUUCACACAUUGCAUAAUGGUUUUAAAAUCUUAUAUUGCAGUGUACAAAAACAAGACAAACUAUAUACAUAGGGUAUACACAUUUAAACACAAAAAUUAUUUGAGGGUUUGCUUUGCAUGACCAUUCAUAAGCCAUUUGCAAUUAUUUUUACACUUAUUACAAUAAAGAGAUUCAUGCAGUAUAUGCUGUUCUGAUUUUAAAUAAAAGUAAAACAUAUCAAGCUGAACAUCUUUGAAAUGUCAGCUCAUCUAGAACCCACAAAUGAGGGAUGAUAUGACAUUUUUGUACACUGAACAAACCAAUUUGUGCACAACAUUUGAGGGAUAUUUUCUGUGUUAUGGAAUAUUUCGUUAUAUUCUUUCUCAGCUUAUAAAUAAUAUGACCAAAAAUAUACGUGUUGCAUUUAGAUUUUUGUUCAGUAUAUAUUUUGUGAAUGGAUUGGUCAAAGAUUUGUAUAACUCGCCAUGGCUUUGCUUUUAAAUUAAACUAUGUAUCACCACCUACUGGUGGAAUCAAACAUUAUUAAACUGUGUAGGUCAUAAUGUAUGUAUGUAUUAUUUUCCUCAACGUUUUCGGUUCUAAUAACCAGUAAGUAUAUUUUGUUAAACGGAAUUAUAAUCGCCUGCAAUAACAUAAAAGGUUCAUGGAUACAUAAAAUAUAAACUAGAUAUACGUAGAUUGACGCACCAAUCCAGCAG
rnacentral:lncRNA from 1 species